rnacentral:rRNA from 1 species
CACGUAGGGGCCAAGCGUUGUCCGGAUUUAUUGGGCGUAAAGAGCGCGUAGGCGGCUCGUUAAGUCGGGUGUGAAAACCCGGGGCUCAACCCCGGACCUGCAUCCGAUACUGGCGGGCUCGAGGCAGGUAGGGGAGAGUGGAAUUCCUGGUGUAGCGGUGAAAUGCGCAGAUAUCAGGAGGAAUACCGAUGGCGAAGGCAGGUCUCUGGGCUGACACUGACGCUCAUGCACGAAAGCGUGGGGAUCAAACAGG